ACCGGGUGCGUUGGCAUGUGCCUGUAAUCCAAGUCACUGGGAGGCUGAGGUUGGUGGAUCAAGUGAGCUGAGGAGCUCUGGGCUGCAGCACGCUAUGUCGAACGGGUGUCCACGCCAAGUUCGGUAUAGAUAUGGUGUUCCUGGUGGGGACCACCAGGUUGUCUAAGGAGGGGUGAACCGGCCCAGGUCGGAAACGAAGCAGGUCAAAUUCCCCGUGCUGUCCAGUAGUGGGAUAAUACCUGUGAGUAGAUGCUGCAGUGCAGCCUUGGCAAAACAUUGAGACCUAGUCUUUU
ensembl:misc_RNA Metazoa_SRP Metazoan signal recognition particle RNA